rnacentral:rRNA from 1 species
CAGCACCUCAAGUGGUCAGGAUGAUUAUUGGGCCUAAAGCAUCCGUAGCCGGCGCUGUAAGUUUUCGGUUAAAUCUGUACGCUCAACGUACAGGCUGCCGGGAAUACUGCAGCGCUAGGGAGUGGGAGAGGUAGACGGUACUCGGUAGGAAGGGGUAAAAUCCUUUGAUCUAUUGAUGACCACCUGUGGCGAAGGCGGUCUACCAGAACACGUCCGACGGUGAGGGAUGAAAGCUGGGGGAGUAAACCGGAUUAGAUACCCGAGUAGUCC